UUGCCCAAACUGCUGCAGACAAGCUGUCCAGUCACAGUGGGACCCUAAAUGUUGUCCAAAUCCUGUGGUAACAAGCCUGAACGUAGUUAAAGCAUGCAAAACAUUUUGGGGAACCAUGCCAAAUGAGGGGCAACAGCAGUUGCUAAACAAUGCUUUGGAUGUCGAAAAGUGCAAAGACGAGCCAUUGGCAACUGAUUAUAACACAACGCUAAAACGAUCAGACCUGUG
rnacentral:lncRNA from 1 species